rnacentral:rRNA from 1 species
GUGAGGAAUAUUGCGCAAUGGAGGCAACUCUGACGCAGCCAUGCCGCGUGCAGGAAGAAGGCGCUACGCGUUGUAAACUGCUUUUAACCGGGAAGAAACCCCAGGACGUGUCCUGGGUUGACGGUACCGGAGGAAUAAGCACCGGCUAACUUCGUGCCAGCAGCCGCGGUAAUACGAAGGGUGCAAGCGUUAUCCGGAUUCAUUGGGUUUAAAGGGUGCGUAGGCAGAGCGUUAAGUCAGUGGUGAAAUCCUGCAGCUUAACUGUAGACUUGCCAUUGAUACUGGCGCUCUUGAGUGCGCUUGAAGUGGGCGGAAUGUGCCGUGUAGCGGUGAAAUGCUUAGAUAUGGCACAGAACACCAAUUGCGAAGGCAGCUCACUAAGGCGAUACUGACGCUGAGGCACGAAAGCGUGGGGAUCGAACAGGAUUAGAUACCCUUGUAGUCC